UACCGCCUCCUGCCGUUCACUGCGUAGCAGCUACGGAUAUCAGGAAAGAGGGAGAGGAAGAAAAAGUCCGUUUUUCCAAGUGGAAAGCGUGGUUCCUUUAUUCAGUCGGAUUGUUCGGUGGAAAUAGACUAUCUAGACUUUGCUGUUGACCAGAAAGGAGCUUGUUACUGCUCGGAUUCUUCUGGUUGUGCUACAACACUUCACCAUCGCCAUUUUGAAGCUCCAGGAGAGCCCAUUUUAUUGGUUACUUUGGUCAGGUUUUUUUGUUGGGAGUACAGUUCGGUGAUGAUCCAGUCCAAAGAUGGCGAGCCACCCUUCCAGGAUCCUUGAGAUGAUUGUUUUAAAAGAGAACUAAAUUCUUUGGACGAGCCGUGGACUGUACAAACUCUACUUACGUGGUAGGACAGAUUUGCACUUCAUUCCUCCUUUGCACAUCCUGCAAGGAGAAUCUUCAUUGCUGGACUCACACUUAAGGGUGUCGGCUGACACGAGAGAGAGACUGAUUCAAAUCCCCCGGGGGGGGGGGGGGUGUUUGUUUAUUAUUUUCCAUGACUUGGGCCCAAUUUUUCCUUUCAUGUACUGUUAUUGUUUUCAUUGUAUGUAUGUGCGAUUCUUUAAUUGUGAAUACAAUUUGAUCAAACCAAGUUCUUUGAGCGUUUCAUUAGUCAUCCACUCUGCUCCAGUGGUCGAACCUCAGCUAUUGGCCCAACACACAAGUAACCAUCUAAAUCUGUAUCCCAAGUGUUGAAAGGGGUGUUACAUGCUGAUUUUGCUUCUACAACUUCAGUGCUGUUUAUUUAAGUCAACAUUAAAUCUUCUUUCAUGUCU